rnacentral:rRNA from 1 species
CACGUAGGGGCCAAGCGUUGUCCGGAUUUAUUGGGCGUAAAGAGCGUGUAGGCGGUCAGGUAGGUCCGUUGUGAAAACUCGAGGCUCAACCUCGAGACGCCGAUGGAAACCAUCUGACUAGAGUCCGGAAGAGGAGAGUGGAAUUCCUGGUGUAGCGGUGAAAUGCGCAGAUAUCAGGAAGAACACCCGUGGCUAAGGCGGCUCUCUAGUACGGUACUGACGCUGAGACGCGAAAGCGUGGGGAGCGAACAGG